rnacentral:lncRNA from 1 species
GCCUGUCCUUUUAUUUGUGGUAUUGAUGGCCAUGGACCACAGUUCCAGUAGUCGGCAAAAUCAAGUAUCUAGUAACUGCUCCUAUCCAGUAUGCAUGCAAAGGUAUCACGUCAUCCCUUUCCUAUUCACAUUCCACUGACGAAAAUUCAUUCUACUUGAAAGCUCUAUACUACUCCCUCCGUCCCAUAAUAUAAGACGUUUUUCGACACUACACUAAGGUCAAAAAACGUCUUAUAUUAUGAGACGGAGUAGUACUUUCAAAUGGAAUCUGUCACGAGCAUAGGCCCUGGGACUAGCCAGGGUCCAAACACAUAUUUUAUAUUUAAGUAAGUUGGAGUAUAUCAUGAUCUCUGCGUUGCUGGGUUAGUGUAGCAUAUAGCUCAGUCUCUGUAAAUUAUAGACUGAGUGUCUCUGUUUACAUGCUCUGGGUCUGCCCCAUUACUACCUGGACUACAAGGUUUAUGUACAUGUGAAUAUCCUUCCUCAAGAUUUCACCAUGAUCCAAAAUCCUGCUUGGUUCUUCUUGCUUUUCCUGUAGUGGUGAUAAUUUGGUAUAUAUCAAACCAUAGCCUGCUCUUACAUUGUUACACUACUCUUUAAUAAGAAAUUUGAAUACUAACUAGGCACAGAUCCACACGGAAACUAGUACUUGAUCGAACGGCACUGACCAUGGGUUCGGGUGGACCAUGGUCCUGAACCUCUCGUCUCUUUGGUAUGAUGAUUGACUUCUUUUUUCCUAUGUGUGUCAGGUGCUGACCAUUGGUUCGUAUUGGUGUACCUCGACAAGCUCACCCAGGGAGGACACCCCCAAGUUCAACUCCAUGGAGCCCUGCUCCAGCGUCAAGGACAGGUCUUUGUUUCUGAAUCCCCUACCAGGACAUGAUUUCUUCUUUUCGUUCUCGAUUUGAGCUCAACAUUUGUUAUGUCCUUGUUGUGUAGCAGCAACAGGAUUCCAUCGGUACAGGUGAGGACAACGUGUUCAUCGAGUUGCGCGGUGGUAGGCUCUUCCGUUGGACCCAUUGCCUGUUCGGCAUCGGUUGCAUAACAGCAUGGUGAGCUCCUCUCCUUCCUCUGUUUCCCGCCUCCGGUUGCUCUGAGCUCGUGGCCAUCCAGCCAUGGCUGGCUGAUACACCCCAUGCGUAAUCAUGAUGGUACUGUUUGUUUGUUCGUUUGUUCUUCAUACACUAGAGUAGAAUCUUGAUUUUCUGUGAGAGGCAAUCAAUGUCAAGUUGAAAAAUGUAUGUCCUUUCCACACAGGAAUUCAAAGUCCUUCAUGGAAAAUAUGAGAUGUUCACCCUGAGUGUAUCUACUGUACUUUAUGCUCAAGAAAAUACAAUGCAUGUUGUGGUUGUUAAUUUGUAGGGUAUAAACUUGAGGGUGAGUGGUGUAGUUAUUCUCAAAGGGGUCAACCUAACCCCAGCAGGCAUAUUGUUGAAAUGAAAUUGUAGGGUUGGCUUUUUGAGCGUGCAAUUAAGCCCCCUUUUCCCUUUUGUGCUUCAUUACUCAGGGACAUUGAAACAUCUCUUGUUAUUUAUUUCAUAUACUGGAUGCAAAUCAUUCCUGUUCAAGCCCACUUACACAACCAGUGCUAUAAUAUAGGCCUCAUGCCGAUGCUAUAGUAUAGGCCUGUUAGCUGACUGUACAUAAUCUAACUUGCAGUGUGUGUGGCAUGCAGGGAGGUGGCGAUCAGUCGGACACGGGGGGCAGUCGGUGCCGUGGAGGUGAUGCUCAUGCAGUGGGUCUCAGCCCUAUUUAAAGGACUUAGAUGGCAGAAUUUGCGGAGGAACCCUUAAAUAGGAAUGGUGUGUAAUGUUCUUAGCUUCGUGUAGAGUACUUAUUUAUUGCAAUCAGAGUAAUGAUCUGUUCUCUGUAGCCAAAAUUCUGCACUGUUUUGUUUCAGUUUUCCUUGUCAAGAUAGUCCAUGUGUGUGUGAUGUGCUCAUGUGAGCUAUCUUACAGGAAUUACCAUGUAUGUGUGGUGCAAAUGUGUUCUGCAUAUUAUACCCAUGUUGGAUUUUUAGUGAAGCAUGGCACACUUGCUC